rnacentral:rRNA from 1 species
UACGGAGGGUGCGAGCGUUGUCCGGAAUCACUGGGCGUAAAGCGCACGUAGGCGGAUUGCUAAGUCAGGGGUGAAAUCCUGGAGCUCAACUCCAGAACUGCCUUUGAUACUGGCGAUCUUGAGUCCGGGAGAGGUGAGUGGAACUGCGAGUGUAGAGGUGAAAUUCGUAGAUAUUCGCAAGAACACCAGUGGCGAAGGCGGCUCACUGGCCCGGUACUGACGCUGAGGUGCGAAAGCGUGGGGAGCAAACAGG